GUUCCUGGUUACACAGCUGGCGUGGGUGCCUCACACCCCACAGGCUGUGUGCCCGUUCAACUGCUCCACCAGGGUCUCUCAGCCCCGGCACUGCUGACAUUAGGGGCCACAUGAUCCAGCGUUGUAGGGGCCGGUCCUGUGCACUGUAGGAUGUUCAGCAGCAUCCCUUCCCUCUACCCACGAGAUGCCAGUUGUGAUCCCUCCCCAGCUGUGACAACCAAAAUAUCUCUCUAUAUUUCUAAAUGUCCCCUGGGGACAAAAAUCACCCCUGCUUGGGAGCCAGUGGGCUAGACUCUCCUGCCUCCCUGGAUGAAUGCUUUCUGAGGGGCGGCACCAUCCCCACCCUGUCCAGUGGCUUCCACGGUCCCUCUGCUUCCACACUGAUCGUCACUUCCAUGCAGGUAGCCCCUUGCCUCUCCCACGGUCAAACAGCAGGCUUACCAGCUGGGCCACCUUUCCCAGAAACUCAACUUCUUUGAGCCCCAGCCAUAGGAAGCACAGGGCUCAGGAGAUACCUCUAUAGCCCUUAUUAUUAUCCCUUGAGUCACGGGGGUUCCCUGGGGUCAGAGCCAAGAGGAAGAGGGCUGCAAGCCAGCUGCCCUCUCUGGUCCAGAGCUUUGGACUCUGCUGGUUCUGCGAGUUUGCUUUUCUGGUUCAGCGAGAAGAAAACAAUGCUGUGGUGUGGGGCCAAAGCUGGCCCCAUUUGAUGCUAUCAUAUUUAUGCUAUUUCAUCUUUGCAAUAAAACUGCCUGACUUUCCCCACCAGCAGAACCUGAUUUUAGUGAGCCAGUGCUGCACUGUACACAGGGCAGGUGCUCAGGAAGGGCAAGGCGGAGCCGUCAGCAGCGCUCUCGGCAUCUGAACCUGGGCCGGGCUCCAGCAGGGUGUCCAUGCUGCGGCAGGGCCAGCUGGCCACCAUGGCGUGGCCCGGGAGAGCCUGGGCGGCACGUAGAGGGAGUGCCGUGGCUCUGCACACGAGCAGGAGGCCUGAGUCUCCUGCUACAAACAGGAUGCAGGGCAGAGGCAGACAGGUAUUGCCGUGCUACGUACGAGUCAGAGGACAGACGGGGGGAGGCCCGUUUUAGAGCUGAUGCCAGAGGAAGACAGUGUGUUUACCGGCAACGGUGAGAACUUGGCCAGUUCCUGUGGAUCAGGAAGUCAGAAGUGACUUAGCUGUGUAGACUCUGGCCUGGAUUCUUUCCUGAAGUUGCAAUCAAGAUGCCAGCCAGGUCUGAAAUCAUCUGAAGGCUUGUCUGGAGCUGGGGAGUCCCCUUCCAAGAUGGCUCGCUCGCAUGGCUGUUGGCGGGAGCCUCAGCUCUUCGCCAUGAGGACCACUCUAUGGGGCUGCUUGAGCAUCCUCACACCAUGGAGAUGGGCUUCCCCCAGAGCAAGGGAGAGCAAGGUGGAAGCCACAUUGUGUUUUAUACCUAGCUCCAGAAGUCAUGCACCAUGGUUUCCUGAAUAGCUUGUUGUUUACACGAGUCAGCCCUGCUGGGAGGGGACCACACAAGGAAGUGAAUACGAGGAGCUGAAAAUCAUGGGGCCAUGUUGGAGGUGGGCUAUCACACUGGUAAUCAUUGUUGACUUGUUUACUAUUAUUUGGAAGAUUCUGGAUCUCAAAUCAAAUCCAGUGUUCAAAAGUGGGCUGCGAACACAAAAAAGUUGGGAGCUGCUCAUCCAAUGGCUUCAUUUCAUCUGUAUCUGCCUGUGGGGUCCCCUGGGGGGCCAUGACUCCAGCAGUGUCCCAAGAUGACCCCAUCAGAAAUAAACCUCUACCAUCCCAUGACACUGAAAGCCUGUUAUCUGUGCCAGGUGCCAGCAAAGCACAGAUGCAUAGGAAGAAGCAGGAACUUUGCAGCCAGACGGAACUGUGUUCAAAUCCUGACUCCCCUCUUGAUGACCUGGGGACUCUGGACGAUUGGCUUAACCUCUCUGAGCCUGAGUGUGGUCGGGUGUAAAAUGGAUUGAGAUCAACUUCACAGGGUCGUUAGGGAGAUGAAAUACAGGAUGACAGAGCAAUGAUAAUAGGAGUCAGGUGAUCUGCCAAUGUUGACCCCUAGAUUUAUUAUUCAUACUGAUAACAAUAAAAUAAUAAUAAUAGCUCACAUUUAUUGACCUCCUAUUAUUGUCAGUCUCUGAAGCUUAAAGCAGUUAAGAACUUUGUCCAAAACACACUGCUGGGAGAGCUGAGACCCACACUCAGUUCUGUCUCUCUCCAAAGCGAAACUGUGUGACAACAAGCUCUUUUCUUAAUAACGGUCUGCAAUGAUCUACACAUUAUGUGGUUCUACCGCCUUCCUUUUCCUCUGUCUCUUUUUUGGCCACUUAGUAGUAUAAGGACGUACCAUAAUUGGUCAAUGAUUUCCCCUGUUGUUGGAUACUCAGUUUCUGCUUUCCACUAUUAACAGUGGGGCGUCAGCGAGCAUCUUUGCUGUGCAGGUGUUUGCCCAGGGCUCACCACAUGCCAGGGGCUGCGCUAAGCACUUGAUGUGUGUCCCACAUUUAAUCCUCCACCAGCCUGAGGACACCCAGCUAGGAAAUGACACUUUCAGGCUCUUACUUGUCUAAUAGAGUGCCUUUUAAGGGUUGAGAGUCCCUUACCUUCUCCAUCCUGAAGAUCUUCCUUCCAAUAGGGCCCCCAAGGAGUGCCUGUGUUUUCCCUGCAGCAGGUGCAUGAGAGACCAGAGGGCUUGGAGUCUGCAAACCCGGGUUUAACAAAAGGACAGCUCUUGACGGGUUACCACCAGGCUCACAGCAGCCAGGGCUCACCAGAUGUGGCCCUGCAUCAGUCAGGAAAGGCCAGGUUAUGCUGUGGUAACAAACGAUCCCAAGAGAGUGGCUUAAAACAUCCAUUGUGGGAAUGUGAUGGGCUCCGUUUUACGUUGCCCUUACUCUGGGCCCCAACUUGAUAGAGCAGCCAUGGGCGUGAUCACCGCCAGUCACCAUUCCAGGAGGCCAGAGGGCAUGUAGGCAAUUGCGCGCUGGAUCCUAAAGCUUUGCCUGGAAGGGACUCGUUCCUUCCUCUCACUUUGCUUUUUUGAUAAAGCAAGUCAUAUAGGCAUGCUUAACCCCGAAAGGACAUGUGCCCCCAGUGGAGAGAACUGUAAUAUUUGGUGAGCGGCACUGAUGACCACCACAGGCUGUGUCCUCUGCUGACCAUUGAGAAAGAGGCUGACAAUCCUAACCACAUUUUAGAACAAUUGAGUCCAGGCCAGAAGUGCCCUUAGCAUUCUUUCCCCAGGAAAGACCCCUGCCUCUAAACCCCGUCGUGCCCACACCAUGAAGCCCA
rnacentral:lncRNA from 1 species